UACAGAGGGUGCGAGCGUUGUCCGGAAUCACUGGGCGUAAAGGGCGCGUAGGUGGCGGCCCAAGUCCAUGGUGAAAGCUCGAUGCUCAACAUCGAGUCGGCCACGGAUACUGGGUUGCUCGAGCACUGUAGGGGCAGAUGGAAUUCCGGGUGUAGCGGUGGAAUGCGUAGAGAUCCGGAAGAACACCGGUGGCGAAGGCGGUCUGGCUGGGCAGUUGC
rnacentral:rRNA from 1 species